rnacentral:SRP_RNA from 1 species
GCCAGGCAUGGUGGUGCAUGCCUGUAGUUCCAGCUACUGAGGAGGCUGAGGCAGGAGGAUCACUUGAGCCCAGGAGUUGAAGGUUGCAGUGAGCUAUGGUUGCACCACUGCACUCCAGCCUGGACAACAGAGUGAGACCUUGUCUCUU